rnacentral:rRNA from 1 species
GGAUGCGAUCAUACCAGCACUAAAGCACCGGAUCCCAUCAGAACUCCGAAGUUAAGCGUGCUUGGGCGAGAGUAGUACUAGGAUGGGUGACCUCCUGGGAAGUCCUCGUGCCGUGGAUA